UACGGAGGGUGCGAGCGUUGUCCGGAAUCACUGGGCGUAAAGGGCGCGUAGGCGGCGCGGGGAGUCAACGGUGAAAGCUCGGCGCUCAACGCCGAGUCGGCCGUCGAUACUCCCGUGCUUGAGCACUGUAGAGGCAGGUGGAACUCCGGGUGUAGCGGUGGAAUGCGUAGAGAUCCGGAAGAACACCGGUGGCGAAGGCGGCCUGCUGGGCAGUAGCUGACGCUGAGGCGCGACAGCGUGGGGAGCAAACAGG
rnacentral:rRNA from 1 species